rnacentral:rRNA from 1 species
UACGGGGGGAGCAAGCGUUGUUCGGAUUUACUGGGCGUAAAGGGCGCGUAGGCGGCCACCGCAAGUCAAUUGUGAAAUCUCCGGGCUUAACUCGGAAAGGUCAACUGAUACUGCGGGGCUAGAGUGCGGAAGGGGCAACUGGAAUUCUCGGUGUAGCGGUGAAAUGCGUAGAUAUCGGGAGGAACAUCCGUGGCGAAGGCGACUACCUGGACCAGCACUGACACUGAGGCACGAAAGCGUGGGGAGCAAACAGG